AUGCAAUCAGCAUUAGAGUUUUAAACCCUAAACUGAAUUUUUCCUUUAGUCAGCAUUAGGGUUUUAAACCCUAAACUGAACUUUUUCCUUUAGUCAGCAUUAGGGUUUUAAACCCUAUACUGAAUUUUCCAUUCAGCCAACAUUAGGGUUUUAAACACUAAACUGAGCUUUUUCAUGCAAUCAGCAUUAGGGUUUUAAAACCCUAAACUGAAUUUUUCCUUUAGUCAGCAUUAGGGUUUUAAACCCUAAACUGAACUUUUUCCAUUCAGCCAACAUUAGGGUUUUAAACCCUAAACUGAGCUUUUCCAUGCAGUCAGCAUUAGGGUUUUAAACCCUAAGCUGAAUUUUUCCUUUAAUCAGCAUUAGGGUUUUAAACCCUAAACUGAAUUUUCCCUUGAGUCAGCAUUAGGGUUUUAAACCCUAAAAUGAACUUUUUUCCCAUUCAGCCAGCAUUAGGGUUUUAAACCCUAAACUGAGCUUUUCCAUGCAAUCAGCAUUAGGGUUUUAAACCUUAAACUGAAUUUUCCCUUUAGUCAGCAUUAGGGUUUUAAACCCUAAACUGAACUUUUUUCCCAUUCAGUCAGCAUUAGGGUUUUAAACCCUAAACUGAACUUUUUCCAUUCAGCCAGCAUUAGGGUUUUAAACCCUAAACUGAGCUUCUCCUUUCAGCCAACAUUAGGGUUUUAAACCCUAAAUUGAGCUUUUUCCUUUCAGCCA
rnacentral:lncRNA from 1 species